GCGUGCUUAACACAUGCAAGUCGAACGGUGAAGCAGGAGCUUGCUCUUGUGGAUCAGUGGCGAACGGGUGAGUAACACGUGAGCAACCUGCCCCUGACUCUGGGAUAAGCGCUGGAAACGGCGUCUAAUACUGGAUAUGUGACGUGACCGCAUGGUCUGCGUUUGGAAAGAUUUUUCGGUUGGGGAUGGGCUCGCGGCCUAUCAGCUUGUUGGUGAGGUAAUGGCUCACCAAGGCGUCGACGGGUAGCCGGCCUGAGAGGGUGACCGGCCACACUGGGACUGAGACACGGCCCAGACUCCUACGGGAGGCAGCAGUGGGGAAUAUUGCACAAUGGGCGAAAGCCUGAUGCAGCAACGCCGCGUGAGGGAUGACGGCCUUCGGGUUGUAAACCUCUUUUAGCAGGGAAGAAGCGAAAGUGACGGUACCUGCAGAAAAAGCGCCGGCUAACUACGUGCCAGCAGCCGCGGUAAUACGUAGGGCGCAAGCGUUAUCCGGAAUUAUUGGGCGUAAAGAGCUCGUAGGCGGUUUGUCGCGUCUGCUGUGAAAUCCCGAGGCUCAACCUCGGGCCUGCAGUGGGUACGGGCAGACUAGAGUGCGGUAGGGGAGAUUGGAAUUCCUGGUGUAGCGGUGGAAUGCGCAGAUAUCAGGAGGAACACCGAUGGCGAAGGCAGAUCUCUGGGCCGUAACUGACGCUGAGGAGCGAAAGGGUGGGGAGCAAACAGGCUUAGAUACCCUGGUAGUCCACCCCGUAAACGUUGGGAACUAGUUGUGGGGUCCAUUCCACGGAUUCCGUGACGCAGCUAACGCAUUAAGUUCCCCGCCUGGGGAGUACGGCCGCAAGGCUAAAACUCAAAGGAAUUGACGGGGACCCGCACAAGCGGCGGAGCAUGCGGAUUAAUUCGAUGCAACGCGAAGAACCUUACCAAGGCUUGACAUAUACGAGAACGGGCCAGAAAUGGUCAACUCUUUGGACACUCGUAAACAGGUGGU
rnacentral:rRNA from 1 species